rnacentral:lncRNA from 1 species
GCACUUCCGGAGUGAGGCAAUGCCUCGCCCUGCUUCGGCUCGCGCACGGUGCGCGCACCCACUGGCCUGCGCCCACUGUCUGGCACUCCCUAGUGAGAUGAACCCGGUACCUCAGAUGGAAAUGCAGAAAUCACCCGUCUUCUGCGUCGCUCACGCUGGGAGCUGUAGAGCGGAGCUGUUCCUAUUCGGCCAUCUUGGCUCCUCCGGCUUACAUUCUUGUAUGAAAUUAACUGUUCACUAAGAAGCAGAAUGAUCUUCACUGGAACAACGAAACAACGGAUGAUCUGCCUUUAAUAGGAUAAAAGCCAGUAUUUGCAAAUAUAAAAUACUAUUUUGAGAUCCUUGUGGAGUUCAUUUUUGUGUAUGGUCAGAGGUUAUUGUCAGUGUUCAUUUUUUGCCAUAUAGAUACCUGGUUGUUCUACCAUUUGAUGAAAGGUAUUAUCAUGUCCCCAUUGAAUUACCAUGACACUUUGUCAAAUAUCACUUGACCCUAUGUAUGAAGGUAUAUUUCUGGCCUCUGUUUUGUUCCAUUGAUCUUAUGUGUAUCACUGUGCCAAUAUAACCCUACCUUGAUUACUGAAUCUUUACAGUAUAUCUUGAUAUCGUCUAGGGUAAGUGAUCUAAAUGUAUACUUUUGUUUCUAAGUAUUUUUGACUUUGGUUCUUUGAGUUCUCCAUAUACAUUUGAUAAUCAGUUUGCCAAAUUUCUCAAAAAGCCCUGCUGGAUAUUGAAUGGAAUUAUAUUGAAUCUAAAUAUCAGUUUGGAGAUAACUGACAUCUUAAUAAUACAUCUUCCAAUCAAAUGCAUACAAUAUAUCUCAUUUAUUUAGAUAGGUUUGCUUUAAUUUAUUUUAGCAAUGUUUGCAGUUAUCUGUUCAGUAUUUUAUUUAAAUUAUUCCUAAAUAUUUCUUGAUUUUUGAUGCUAUGGGAAACAGUGUAUUUUAUUUUUUUCAUUAAUCAUUACUUUUGUAGAGAGAGACAAUGGAUUUUUAUAUGUGAAGCUUAUAUGCUGCGACCAUGACCACGCUAAACUCACUUUUUAGUUCUGAUAAAUUUUUUUGUACAUUUCAUAGGAUUUUUGGCAUACAUAAUUGUGAUUAUGUCACUUAUAAAUAAAGACAAUAUUACUUAUUUAUUUCU